rnacentral:lncRNA from 1 species
UACAACCGUUUCUCUAAAUUGAAUUGGUAGAAUGUGGCAGGAGAUACAUUUACCUGUUCACUGUGAUCAUGGAUAGGGUUGUUUGAAAAUUUUAGAAUUUAUGUUUUGAAAUUUAGCAAGCAUUUUCUUAAGAGACCUAAACCUCAGAAUCAUCAGUGUGUAAGUUUUAGCAUUUCCUAGGAAAUAACCUUAAAGUUAAAGGAAUAAAAAUCUUAAUUUCUGUCUUAAUCUCAAGGAUUUUGUGGAAAAGCUCAGCAAAAGAUGAUAGAAACACAGUUUCCCAUAUUGAAUCGGUAAUUAUAAACAACAAAGCACAGGAACAAAGAAUUGCCAAUUGUUAAUAAGGGUGAAAUGAAAUGGGCACUUUAUUGCAUGAAAAAUGAUUUUCAUUGCUUGUCCAGGAAUAGGCAUAUCUGAAAAGGAAGUUAUUGCCAAGACCAAGCAACAGAAAAAAAGACAUGUCAUAACUGUUCUAAGGCCAAGUGAGUGCUGUCGUGUAGAUACACUCACUGCAGAAGCAUAGUCCACCAAAAUAUUUUUAAGUUUGUGUGAGAAUGUAAGAGAUGGAAAGAGUUCAUGAAUGAGUAUGGUAAGUUACUGAAGAUGGUCAUAGUUCACCAUGUGUUACCCAGCAGGAACAUGAAAUUAAGCCGCACUCACUCUGGGGUUAUAUUCACCAUUUUCCUCACAAUCUCAAAGUAAAUAACAUCAUCUUUGUUUUUGCUGAAGAGACAGAAUUCCAGGCCCAGGAGAUGGUGACUACUGGUGAAGAAAGUGAACAUCCUCAUGUUUGGGGGUCAGAUAGACUUUGGCUCUGAUUUUAUCUUGCCUUCUUCCCAGAUUUGUUGUCUUGGGCAUGAGUGUGAAAGCGUCCAUUUUCUUGCUGACUGUUCACUGUGUCAUUUCUUUGCUUCUUUUCAGUCAAACUAGGC